ACUUUGCCACAGGGAGGCACUGAACUGAAAAACUGCCUUGUAAGAGGUGUCGCCCCUCUGUCUACUCCCUUUCUUAUAUCAAGAGGGGAAAAACACGUAACUACCUCUACCCGAUCUGGUCACCAUACGCCUAUUACCUUUAUUGUUACAAGUACCGGAUCACCCUCCGGGAGAAGAUGCUGCCUCGCUGUUAUAAAAGCAUCACUUAUAAGGAAGAGGAGGACUUGACACUCCAGCCCCGUUCCUGCCUCCAGUGCUCCUGAGUCCCUAGUAGGCCUCCAGGAGGGCAAAAGCACCGAGCAGGGUAACCACGACCAGCUUAAAGAACUGUAUUCGGCUCUCCCCAUCAACGCCCACCUUGCUUCAACAGAUACACCCCAAUCUGCCUGAGGUCUGAUUUGAAGACUAGAGGAGCAUUUUUACUCCUUUUCCAGGCUGGGAACUUGACGGUGCUGGCUACUGACCCCCUGCUCCACCAGGACCCAGUACAGUUAGACUUUCACUUCCGCCUUACCUCCCAGACCUCUGCCCAUUGGCACGGCCUUCUCUGUGACCA
rnacentral:sRNA from 1 species